ensembl:lncRNA
UUGAAAACUGGAGCAGCAGCACAGUCAGGUGGAAGUUGAAACUGGAGCAGCAGCAUGGCCAGGUGGACUGGGGACAGCAAGGAGUCAUCAUGUCAGGUAGUCCUGGGGCAUGGUCCUAGGGCUCAGGUCAGUUGAAACUGGAACAGCAGCAUGGCCAGGUGGACUGGGGACAGCAAGGAGUCAUCAUGUCAGGUAGUCCUGGGGCAUGGUCCUAGGGCUCAGGUCAGUUGAAACUGGAACAGCAGCAUGGUCAGGUGGACUGGGGACAGCAAGGAGUCAUCAUGUCAGGUAGUCCUGGGGCAUGGUCCUAGGGCUCAGGUCCUCCGAGAGAGAGAAAGAAAGAGAG